rnacentral:rRNA from 1 species
GAUGACCGCUGGCGGCGUGCUUAACACAUGCAAGUCGAGCGAAGCGGCUGAAUUGAUUCUUCGGAUGAUUUUCAGUUGACUGAGCGGCGGACGGGUGAGUAACGCGUGGGUGACCUGCCCCAUACCGGGGGAUAACAGCUGGAAACGGCUGCUAAUACCGCAUAAGCGCACAGAGUUGCAUGGCUCGGUGUGAAAAACUCCGGUGGUAUGGGAUGGGCCCGCGUCUGAUUAGGCAGUUGGCGGGGUAACGGCCCACCAAACCGACGAUCAGUAGCCGGCCUGAGAGGGCGACCGGCCACAUUGGGACUGAGACACGGCCCAAACUCCUACGGGAGGCAGCAGUGGGGAAUAUUGCACAAUGGGGGAAACCCUGAUGCAGCGACGCCGCGUGAGCGAAGAAGUAUUUCGGUAUGUAAAGCUCUAUCAGCAGGGAAGAUAAUGACGGUACCUGACUAAGAAGCCCCGGCUAACUACGUGCCAGCAGCCGCGGUAAUACGUAGGGGGCAAGCGUUAUCCGGAUUUACUGGGUGUAAAGGGAGCGUAGACGGCAAGGCAAGUCUGAUGUGAAAACCCAGGGCUUAACCCUGGGACUGCAUUGGAAACUGUCUGGCUCGAGUGCCGGAGAGGUAAGCGGAAUUCCUAGUGUAGCGGUGAAAUGCGUAGAUAUUAGGAAGAACACCAGUGGCGAAGGCGGCUUACUGGACGGUAACUGACGUUGAGGCUCGAAAGCGUGGGGAGCAAACAGGAUUAGAUACCCUGGUAGUCCACGCCGUAAACG